GGGAGUCGUCCACGUCCACCGGCUCCUCUUCCUUCACUCGGAUUACGUCUGAAGGCGUCUGCAGACUCAUGUCCAGCGCUGAAGAGCCAGGCGCAGGCAGCUGCAGUGCAGACAGACGGACAGACAGAGCAGAGAAGAGAAAAGGGGGAAGGGAGACGAGAGAAGGUGUGAGAACUGGGAACAGACAGCCGUCCACAGGCCAUAAAUCCCCGACAUUUUGGCUGCAGGCUGUGGAGUUGUUCGUGUUUGGAACAGCUCUGCUUAAUGAGAACACAUGAGCUGCUAUGUACAGCUCUUACUGUCGGGUCCUGGACAGGCUAAAAUGUUUGCCCAGAUUACAGAACUUACUGCAAAACCACUGAGUGAUGAUUUAACUCUGCUCCUGCCUUUCAUCGUGGCCAAUCGGAGCUAAUCUCUCUCUCUCUCUCGACCCCGAUUGAAGAGGGCCGACCUGCCAGGGACGGGAGUCAUACACUGCCAUCUAUGAUCAGCCGCCCCCCCCACACCUCGUUGACCGGUCAGCAGAAGCCGCAGCAAAGAGGAACCCCGUUUCAGCCAUUGUUCUUCCCCCCUAGAGACACACAGCAAAUCGUGUGUCUGUGUAGACACCCAAACGGCUGUAGGUUUAAUGUGAACAGUCAAAGUUCUGCUCUCAUCACAAUAUAUGAGGACC